UAGGGAAAUCUUCCACAAAUGGACGCAAGUCUGAUGGAGCAACGCCGCGUGAGUGAAGAAGGUCUUCGGAUCGUAAAACUCUGUUGUUAGAGAAGAACAUGCAGGAGAGUAACUGUUCUUGUAUUGACGGUAUCUAACCAGAAAGCCACGGCUAACUACGUGCCAG
rnacentral:rRNA from 1 species